rnacentral:lncRNA from 1 species
GGACUGUAGGUUAUCAUAUACAUUCACUCCUCAGACACUAAAGAACACGUCCUUCAUGUGAGGAGCAAUAUGACCUUGGUUCUGUGGAUAGGGUUGACUUCAGGGAGGAAGAAGCAGGCACUGUAAGCUAUGAAACACCAGGUCAAACACCUGAGUCUGGGUGAGGCUCUGAUUGAGAUGAUGGGAAGCAGAGUUCUCGAUUGUAUAAACAAGGAUGGGUACCAAUUCCUAAGCUGAGAGCAGUAUAGACAUCCCAUCAGUAUUCGCCCAUGUAAUUUGUUUUCAUAUAAAUAUAUGUGCAUGCUUUAAUAUAUCUUAAAGAAAAAAGGCAAGGAAGAAAAUCCUUGAACCUAGAGGUGGAUCAGAGAUUAAGAGCACUUGCUACGCACACACGCAUGCCCGCACCUCUAUACACAGAUACACACAUAUAUGAGGUGUUUUAAAUUAUUUUUCUUUAAAAUAUUAUUGGUGAUAUCUAAGUACUCAAAUACUUCCUUAGUAGCUAUAUUCUCCAUUUUUUAAAUGUAAUCUUUCAAAAUAGAUCCCAUUUUCUGUUGUGUAUAAUAUAGCCCCAUCACUGCUAUGUCGGCAUUAAUUUUCAUUUGUAAAUACCUUUAUAAUUUCAGAGCAUGCUUACUUCUCAGAUUUCAAAAUCUUUAUGGCUCCCCACCUUUAUUCUCACACUUUCUGAUCUUCUCCAAAAUGACUCUGAAAGAGGGCAGUUGUAACAUCUUCCUGUUACAACCAGCUCUGUUCUUUUUGUCUGACCCUGCUUCCACAGGUAAACAGCUCUUUAAUAUCCAACACAGUAGUCACUAGCCACAUGUACCUAUUACCAUUAAAAUCAAAUAUAUUAAACCAUUUAAUCUCUGAGUCAUGAUGCACUAUAAUUCCAGCAUUUGGAAGGUGAUGGGAGAAGAUCAGAAACCAAGGCCAUCCUUGGCUACUUAGAACAUCCAAGGCCAGCCUGGGCUAUAUGAAAGACUGUCUCAGGAGAACCUAAAAUCAAGAAAAUGAAGUAGUUCUUAAGUGUCACUAAUCAAAUAAUGAAGUGCUGACUAGUAUAUGUGGUUAGUGACUACUUUAUAAGACAGCUCAAACAUAAGGUUCAUCAUUAGUUAUCCUAGAAAGCUCCACUGGAAGUAUGAGCAGAGAUGGUUAUCCUUCUUGACUCUUUUGAAUCUGUAAUGUUUGUGCAUAAUGAGCUCCUUUCUAAUUCUUUUCACGGAGAACACAAUCAUAUUCAUUUUCAUAUGAAUCAGCUAUGAUAUUUUUACAUGCAAUUUAAAGAGUAAGAUAGAAGUAGGAAAGUUUGAAAUGUUUAAUAAACAUUUUUUUGUCCAGUUGAUGGGAGGUUGCUAAUAUCAAAAAGAUCAUAAAAUUAUAUUGACAUAUAUUGGCAUAUGCAUAGAUAGAUAGAUAGAUAGAUAGAUAGAUAGAUAGAUAGAUAGAUAGAUAGAUUUGUCCCUAAAUGUAAAAUGUUCAGUUGUAUACUGCUGUCUUUAUACAUAUUUUCAGAGCUGCUGACCACUGGGCACUGGACAACCAAUUGGUGUAUUCUUUCCUGGAUAUUCCUUCUGGACCCCUGGAUCAUUCUCAGGAAGACUCAAUUUCAGAUGCCAAGCUGUGGUGGUCAUCACUCACUUGUCCUUUCAAAGACAACAUUCAUUCUUGUCUUCUGAGUUUUCAUAUUUACAACCUUCCUCCUAUCAAGGAAUACUGAAGUUUUAUUCACUAUUAUCAAGGAAUAGUGAUGUUUUAUGAUACGUAAUAACUAUUCACUUCAAGGUUAAGAAGCAGCUUUAGACUUACGAUCUAUCUUUCUGAAAGUGCAGUUCAAAAUUGCUCCAGAGUCUUGCUCUUCAAAACUAUCAAAACCAUACAAGACAAAAAAAAAUUUAUAUUACAGUCUUUAAAAAAUUACAGGGAUAACAAGAUGGCUCAGUUUAUAUAAAGGCACUUGUCAUCAAACCUGACGACCAGUCCUUCCACAAUAAAUUAACUAAAUAAAAUUUAAUGCAAAUAAAAUAAAUAAAAUAAAUGAUCUUGGCACUCACCUUGCAGUAAAAAAAAAUAUUUGAAUAAUUGGAGUGCUGCAUAUUAUGUUGUUCAAUUUAGCUAAUAUCUUUGGCUCACUCUGUUGGACUAUACUGUAAUUUGUCUGAAAGUUUCGAUUAAUAUAAAAAAGAAGACUGAGGAAAAUAAACAAGAAACAAACAACAGAGAAUGUACCUUUGUAUUGGCAGUAGGGAUGGGUUUAAGAAGAUUUCUUUCCUAGUGUAGGGGCAUACAUUUAAAAAUAGAAAAGGAAUCCUAUAAAUGAGCUUAGUAAGAAUAAAAGUAAUAACAAAAUAGCUUUAAAAAAUGAAAUUAAUUACAAAACUAUGAACAGUUGCUUCAAAAAAGAGAUAUAAGGAUAAGAUAAAUGCAACAACUAGAUCAUUAGAAAAAAUGGGACCUAAAAUGUAUGUGAAUCACCGCAGACAUGUUCUCUGAAUAAAAUAAACACAAUUGUGAAAUGUUUGGUUCAAAAGAAAUGGUGACUGUACAAGCCAGAGCGUGAGUGGCAUCACCAUGGAUACAGAUAUACAAUACCAACAUAUUUGAACAUCCACCUGAAGUUGAUGAUGUAAUAGAAAAAUAGAAGUUCAAUCAAGAAAAUGAAGAAUAUCUGAAUGCUCUGGAUACACACAUAUCCUCAAACUAUACCUCAACACUGUGGUGGUACCGCUUCUAGUGAGGAAGAGAAGCAUUUGGUUAUUGGGACAAUUCAACACUGAAAAAUGUCAGUUUCCUUCAACAGAAUUAUAAAUUUAAUCUUCUCUCAAUCAAAAUUCCAUUAUAGUCUUUCACACAUACUACAAAUCUAAUUCUAAGUUUAAAUGAAAGAGAAUGUUGACAAAUAGAGCAAAGAUCUCUUGGAAAACAGGAAAUAAUGAGGUACUGUGUCUAUCCAAAUACUAUAUAUAAAAAAGCAGCAAUUCAGCAAAUGAUAUGAAUGUGUCGUAGCACUCAUCUGUGGAGAGUGAUGGGGAUUUCAGACAUGGAUCAAUGGACAUAGAAGUAUUGUGUGUUACAUGUAUACUUCAUAAGAUGAUGUUAAGACAGUUGAUAUAUUUUUAAAAAUUUUUAUGUACUAUGCAUGUGUAUAAGUCUGCAUGCAGUUAUGUGCCUGUGAAUACAGGUGCUAUGGAGGCCAGAAAUGGGUAUCAGAUAUCUUGGAUAUGGGGUUAAUUACGAGCUGCCAGACCUGGGUCCUCUGUAAGAGCAGUAUAUAUUUCUGAACUAAUCAGCCGUCUUUCCAUCCCCAUUGACUUUCUCUUAGGAAAGACAAGUUUAAACAUCUACUUCUUAAUAUUUACACAAAUAAAACAAAAUUCCAAAAAGAAAUAAGAUAUAAAACCUCUUUAAAAAUUAUAUGCAUAUUCAGAGUACUUGGGGAAAGUGGUUUUGGAGUCUUGAGACAAAAUAGAUCUUUCUACACAUAAACCAGUUUGAAAGUACUACUUGAAAGGUAGCACUGAUAGGAAAGAUGUCCAGAGACCUCCGGGCCACUACAGGACAUGAGUAGGCCUCAGUUACACAAAACCCUGCCAGUGACCAUGCAAUGCUUCAGUGUGGGAGGGACAGCUAUCCAAAAACCUGCCCACUGCCAUGCCGCAAAGGGGGUGGAGGGACCAUAGACACCUAGAGGCCCUGUUGCUGCCACAUUAUGCAAUGCUGGCAUUGAGGUCAGCCAGAGGCCUGCCCACUUACAGAGGAAGCCACUGCAAUGUGCAAGUAUGUGGUAGACAGAGGGGAGAAAGAGAAGUGGAACAGUUUGAGCAUUGUGAAGAGAGAUGGAACUGGAGACACAAGGGUCGAGAGGAAUAGUCUCUUGUGAGUGGGCGGCCUGCUGAGGCUAUAGUGACGUCUCAACCUGUGCUGCUUCUGAGGGUUAUGCAGUGGCAGGAGUCUUUGUCCAUGUCCAUGGUUCAUAUUACCACUAGACACCAUGUGGACAUCCUUGGUCUGGGCAAAGGCCUGAGCACACUUACAUGUUCAAGGGCACUACAAAAUUGGUCCUGUCCCUAACUAGCCACAGUUCUUGCCCCUCUAUACCUUGCCUGAGCAGCACAAUAGAGCUGUCCCCGAUGGGGGAGGUGGGGUACAAGUGAGCCAGCCACCUAAAGCAGUCAGUAGAGCUGGCCCUGAGGUCUUGAGAUCAAGUGAGCUGGCCCUGACCCUCAUUGACUAUAGCUCUUGGUAGAGCACGUCCCGUACCUCACCUGGGCAGCACAGCAAAGCUAGUCCUGGCUGUAGGUGGGGGUGGGAGUGGAGGGUGAGAGUGAGCCAGCUCCAGGGGCUAGAGGGAGGGAGGGCUUGACUUGCCUUUUUUCUGCUCUGAGCACCUCAGAAUAGCACAGACAUGGGGGUGAUGCCCUCUACCCCAUUGUCCCUUGCCACUGGAGGCAGUUAGGAGAGCUGGCCCUGAGGUUAUGACAACUGGAGAGCUGGACAUUCCCCUCCCUUGGUAGAUAGAGCAGGCCCUGCAUCUUGAUGGAGCAACAUAGUGGACCUGGCUCUGAUGGUAAAGGCACCAGUGAGCCAGCCCUGAGAACAUGAGAGCAAAGAUCUGUCCCAGGCCCCUCUCAGGCUGGCUGUAGCCCUUUUGACAAUAUGUACUCACUGAUAAGUGGAUAUUAGCCCAAAACUUAGGAUACCCAAGAUAUAAG